rnacentral:rRNA from 1 species
CAGUAGCCGCGGGAAUACGAAGGGUGCAAGCGUUAAUCGGAAUUACUGGGCGUAAAGCGUGCGUAGGCGGUUUGUUAAGUCUGUUGUGAAAUCCCCGGGCUCAACCUGGGAAUGGCAAUGGAUACUGGCAAGCUAGAGUGUGUCAGAGGAUGGUGGAAUUCCCGGUGUAGCGGUGAAAUGCGUAGAGAUCGGGAGGAACAUCAGUGGCGAAGGCGGCCCCCUGGACAAAGACUGACGCUCAGGUGCGAAAGCGUGGGGAGCAAACAGGAUUAGAUACCCGUGUAGUCCCUGUCUCUUAUAA